GACGAACGCUGGCGGCGUGCUUAACACAUGCAAGUCGAACGGUAAGGCCCUUCGGGGUACACGAGUGGCGAACGGGUGAGUAACACGUGGGUGAUCUGCCCUGCACUUCGGGAUAAGCCUGGGAAACUGGGUCUAAUACCGGAUAGGACCACUGCCUGCAUGGGUGGUGGUGGAAAGCUUUUGCGGUGUGGGAUGGGCCCGCGGCCUAUCAGCUUGUUGGUGGGGUGAUGGCCUACCAAGGCGACGACGGGUAGCCGGCCGGAGAGGGUGACCGGCCACACUGGGACUGAGAUACGGCCCAGACUCCUACGGGAGGCAGCAGUGGGGAACAUUGCACAAUGGGCGCAAGCCUGAUGCAGCGACGCCGCGUGAGGGAUGACGGCCUUCGGGUUGUAAACCUCUUUCAGCACCGACGAAGCGCAAGUGACGGUAGGUGCAGAAGAAGGACCGGCCAACUACGUGCCAGCAGCCGCCGUAA
rnacentral:rRNA from 1 species